rnacentral:rRNA from 1 species
AUUGAACGCUGGCGGCAGGCCUAACACAUGCAAGUCGAGCGGUAGAGAGGUGCUUGCACCUCUUGACAGCGGCGGACGGGUGAGUAAUGCCUAGGAAUCUGCCUGGUAGUGGGGAUAACGUUCGGAAUCGGACGCUAAUACCGCCUACGUCCUACGGGAGAAAGCAGGGGACCUGCGGGCCUCGCGCUAUCAGAUGAGCCAAGGUCGGAUUAGCUAGUUGGUGAGGUAAUGGCUCACCAAGGCGACGCUCAGUAACUGGUGUGAGAGAAUAAUCAGUCACACUGGAACUGAGACGCGGUCCAGUCUCCUACGGGAGGCAGCAGUGGGGAAUAUUGGUCAAUGGGCGAAAGCCUAAUCCAGCCAUGCCUCUUGUGUGAAGAAGGUCUUCUGAUUGUAAAGCACUUUAAGUUGGGAGGAAGGGUACUUACCUAAUACGUGAGUAUUUUGACGUUACCGACAGAAUAAGCACCGGCUAACUCUGUGCCAGCAGCCGCCGUAAUAC